CACAACAUUUAAAAAUAUUUAAAACGAACGUGACUAUUAAUUAUUUUUAGUUCGCCUUCAAAAUUUUUAUAUUAUUUUUCUAAAAUGUGUUGGUUAGGUUGGGCAGUUGCUUUGUCUUUACUUUCCUAUAUGUUUAUAGCUCCUCCUCCUAAGCAUUAAAAGAAAAAUAAAAAUUUAAUUUCUAUUGUUAAUCUAAGACAAUGUAUCUUACUUUUCAUAUGGAUACAUAACAAUCCUGUUCCUUUACAUGAAGUAUAACUUAUACGAUUGUCAGGAUGCAACAGUGGAUAAGAUGCUGACUGAACUAGCUUUGAUCCAGCCUAAUCCAAAACUACACUCACGUUCAAAGUUGAUAUGACAAAUAAAUGUUCCGUCGAAGAAAUUUACUAUUAAAUUGUUAAAAAAAUUGUAAAA